GGAGAUUGGCGUUUCUGAAUUUGCAAUUGGGUCACUGAAUUGGAGAUAACGACAAAAUCGCGAAUUACAUUUCCGAUUUGGCGAGAAGAACAAGACCUAAAUUAGGGUUCUAUAAGGGAAUUAGGCUAAUUAGGGAAUUGGAGGUUUCUGAAUUGGCGAUUGGGACUCUGAGUUGGAGAUACAGACAAAUUAGCAAAUUGCGUUUCUGAAUCAACGAGAAGAACAAGGGUAUAUUGACAAAUGAAACGAAGUGCCUGAGGCGUGAGACCGUCACAGUUAGAGACGAGACAUUGUUCGAUUUAAGUCUUGAUAUAGAACAGAACAGCUCCAUCCAAGGAUGGUGCAUGUAUUCAAGAGUUACAAGCUACUUUAAAUAUGUGAAGAUUUAUAGGGUUUUUGGCACAAAAAUAUUACAUAGUAGAUAGGUUUAAAAAAAUAGAGUAAUCGGACCGUGAUUGCAAGAUUUUAUUUUAUUUUAGUGGAUUUAGUUUUAGUACUUAUGUUUUCUUUUUACUAUUCAGACAAUUGUAAAAGAUAUUAUGCUUAUGAAUUUAAGGUAUUUGAAAUGUGUACAUUUUUGAACUUA